UUAAGCAUAUUAUUAAGCGGAGGAAAAGAAACUAACCAGGAUUCCCCUAGUAAGGGCGACUGAAGCGGGACCUGCUCAGGAUGUGAAUCUGCGUGCUUUGUACGCCGAAUUGUGGUCUGUCGACAGUGGUGUUACCGGCCGGGCCAAGUCCCUUGGAAAAGGGCAGCUGAGAGGGUGAGACUCCCGUUCGCCCGGCUAGAUGAACCAUUAGUCAACGAGUCGAGUUGUUUGGGAUUGCAGCUCUAAUUGGGUGGUAAAUUCCAUCUAAAGCUGAAUAUUGGUGGGAGACCGAUAGCGUACAAGUACCGUGAGGGAAAGAUGCAAAGAACUUUGAAAAGAGAGUUAAAGAGUACCUGAAAUUGCUGAAAGGGAAGCGAAGGAAACCAGUGUUUGUCUUGUCAUACUUCCCUGGCCACUUGUGGCUUGGGCGCUGUGGCUUGUCUUGUGUUAGGUUUGGUUGUGACUUUCGGAAGAGCGUUCAAAGAGUUGAUUUGGACUGCUGGCGUUUGUCUUGACUGAGUUUGACGAAAUGGUUUUCUUUACCCCGUCUUGAAACACGG
rnacentral:rRNA from 1 species